AGCGUUUGAUGACCCAGUAUAUUCGGUUGUUAAUAAAAGAACAAACAAUGACCACAUUUGGUGUGAACAAGCAGCAGUCUAUUCAUGUAUUCCAGAUCACGUCUAUGCCAGUCCAGUGCUGUGAAACAAAACUCAAUGAUUUUUUUAUUUCAUUUUGCUCAAUAAGACAUGCACUGUUUAAUAUGAAAUAAAUGAAUAUGCAUCUUACUGAAAUAUAGUCAAAAAAUCAUUAUUUUACAUGUGCAGUUUAUAACACUAGAAAGCUGCACUAAUAUCCAUCUCUGUAAGUUCUUUUGGUCAAAGAAUGAAGAAUGAAGACACAAGUUUCUUUAAAAGAUUUUGUAUAUGUCCACAUGUGUCUUCCUGUUUUCCCUCUUUUGAAAAAAGCAAGACUUCCAUAGCCUCUUCUGUUUGCCAUUUGACUAAAAAUUACAGCCAGAAGCCAUACAUUGUGGCAUUCUAUCAGUAUUUUAUUUUCAGAGUUGCAUUACUGUAAACAGUGCAAGUGGUUCACUGAAUGCAACCUUCUGACAUCAUGCACUGCACACCUGAAAUAAUGAUGGCCCCCAUAGGGCAAAAUUAAGAUGUGUGUUACUUUAAACAUGUCUCUGACAGAUUUUGAUAAAUGACUUGAUAUUUCUAUGGAAGCGUUUUUCUUUGGAUUGGGUGGACAUAAUAUAUUGUUUCAGCUUUAAAAAGUCAUAUUGCAGGAUCUGCAAUGUGGAGUCAGGAUUAUAGUUAUUUUAGGAUAUUGUGAGGGGUGUUGAUCUAAAGCGAAAUAAUGUAUAAUGUACAUUUAACCUGUUUCAAGAUAAGAAAUGAAGCUGGGAUUUUCAAGCUACCCUGGCUGAAUUUAAUCUUAACAUGUGUGGAAAUAUAAAUUUCUAUCAUCUAAUUCCAAAUGAGCAAUAAUCUAUGUAUAACUGAAAAGUUAUAUUCUUUGGUUUUUAAUAACAUCAUGUCAUUGACAUGCCAGCUAGGAGGGACAUUUAACCUUUGCCCUGCUGACUACAGGCUAAGCCAAAGUGAUGCAAUUAUCGGUUUCACAGCAUGGCUGUAUCUAUUGUCUUCUCUGUCACCAGAACAUCAUUUGCACACUGUUGUAAUGAUGUACUUAUAUGCUGAUGAGAUCAGACCUGGAGAAGGCAUGGCACCCUGCAGACAACCAGACUUCAUUUGCAUGCUUUGUUUGACUGUCCCCACUAACAUGUAUCAAAAUGUAUAAAUGUAUAAUGUUUGCUGUGCAGUUUAGAGUUUGCUUUUGAUGACGCCACCGCCACACGGAGUUCUUCUUAUUAAAAAAGGAUUCUGCUUUGAAGACAACCAAAAGAUUCUCCUUGGUUUUUGGGGCUCUUGGAAGUUUACAACACAUGGCAGCAUGAAAGCAGGCAAAAUUAAGGCAAAGACACAGAGAUUCAUUCAGAGCAGGCUCACAACCAGGCUAAGGAUGUGAUUUAUCAGUUUUGCUGUCAAUGCUAUGCUAAAAUCAACUAGUAUCUGAUUUAAUACUACAACUGCAAUUGGUGAAAAUCAUGUAAUCCCGAUUGCAGUUGUUGUAUUAAAUUGGAGUACAGUUAAGAAUGAUCUGCAGUAAUAUGCAUGGGGCUAAUAUGUUUUUGCUUUUAAUUCAUGUGGUUGUCUUGAUGAGUGUUGCCCUUAUGUAAAUAUUGCAUGUAUGUUGCCAGUAUAAAAGACAAAUUUCUUUACUGUGCCAAGCGAAACAGACAAUAAAGUUUAAACUAAACUAAACAAGAAA